AACUGAACGCUUCUGGUCUGUGUCUUGAUAAGACCCCAUGUUAAAGAGCCAUCCAACUGUUGGACACAUGGUCCAAAAAGAACGUCUAAGACACCUCUUCAUUUUCAAAAAAGAAAAGUGCCAUCAUGACUGCCUAGACUCAAGGAGGUUGUGAUAGAGAUUGCCUAGAUGGUCACCAAUCUUAGGCCUUCUCUCUGGGAACCAGAAAGACUACAUUAUCCAGCCCCUCCUAAAAGUCACAAAACUGAGCUCUGUUUGGUGAGCAGAAGGAAUAAGCACCAGUUCCAGGGCUGGCAAUGCAAGAC
rnacentral:lncRNA from 1 species